GGUUAAGCGACUAAGCGUACACGGUGGAUGCCCUGGCAGUCAGAGGCGAUGAAGGGCGUGCUAAUCUGCGAUAAGCGCCGGUAAGGUGAUAUGAAGCGUUAUAACCGGCGAUACCCGAAUGGGGAAACCCAGUGUGAUUCGUCACACUAUCAUUAACUGAAUCCAUAGGUUAAUGAGGCGAACCGGGGGAACUGAAACAUCUAAGUACCCCGAGGAAAAGAAA
rnacentral:rRNA from 1 species